rnacentral:rRNA from 1 species
CAUAGCCUUUAGCAAUUAAGUAUUAAAGGUGACGCCUGCCCAGUGACUAGUUCAACGGCCGCGGGAUUCUCCACCGUGCAAAGGUAGCAUAAUCACUUGUCUCCUAAAUAGAGACUAGUAUGAAUGGCCAAAUGAAGAUUUUUCUGUCUCUUGCAGCCCAUCUAUUAAACUGAUCUUUCAGUACAAAAGCUGAAAUUAAGACACAAGACGAAAAGACCCUGUGGAACUUAAAGCCACGGCCAACAAAAUGACCCGCCACUUUUAGUUGGGGCAACUUUGGAAAAAAACAAAACUUCCAAUUAUCAAUCAAGGCAAACAUGCCAACAGACAUUAAAACAAAUGACCCAGUAUCACUGAAUAAAGAAAAAAGCUACCCCAGGGAUAACAGCGCCAUCCCCUCAUAGAGCCCCAAUCGACGAGUGGGGUUUACGACCUCGAUGUUGGAUCAGGGGCCCCCAAGCAGUGCAGAAGCUGCUAACGGUUUGUUUGUUCAACAAUUAAUGCCCUACGCGAUCUGAGUUAAGACCGGAGCAAUCCAGGUCGG